UACGAAGGGGGCUAGCGUUGUUCGGAAUUACUGGGCGUAAAGCGCACGUAGGCGGAAUGUUAAGUCAGGGGUGAAAUCCCGGGGCUCAACCCCGGAACUGCCUUUGAUACUGGCAUUCUCGAGUCCGGAAGAGGUGAGUGGAAUUCCGAGUGUAGAGGUGAAAUUCGUAGAUAUUCGGAGGAACACCAAUGGCGAAGGCAGCACUCUGGGACGUGACUGACGCUGAGACGCGAAAGCGUGGGGAGCGAACAGG
rnacentral:rRNA from 1 species